UCUCUUUUUCGCGUGGAGUCUCGCAGUCGAAGCGGCUACCUUUUUGUCUCUAGUAUCUACUUCAACCAUCGCAGGUCUCAGAUCUCAAUUUUCAAGUCUCUUCUUCUCUGCUUCAAGCCUUCAACCCUCUCAGGCCUAGAAAAGUUCAGGUACGUGGGGCAACACAUUGAUGCUCAUUUGUGACAGCAGCAUCAAAAUGGUCCUUUAAUAAUCAAUUUUCUGUUCAUCAAGAACCAAUUUUAUGUUUUUGAGGUCUAAUUUUAUAGAGAAAUGUAACAGAUUGAUAAUGAAGAGACAAUUAAAUGUCUCAUAUAUCUUUGGAACUAAUUUGACCAAGUUAGUAAUAUAUAAAUUGAUGAUCAAUUUGAUGUCAAAGGCAUAUUCCACGGAUCAAAUAAACUUUGAUUAUUUGAAGAGCUUACUCAUGUUUUGAGCUGAA